rnacentral:rRNA from 1 species
AGCGAACGCUGGCGGCAGGCCUAACACAUGCAAGUCGAACGAACCUUUCGGGGUUAGUGGCGGACGGGUGAGUAACACGUGGGAACGUGCCUUUAGGUUCGGAAUACCUCAGUUAAACUUGUGCUAAUACCGAAUGUGCCCUUCGGGGGAAAGAUUAAUCGCCUUUAGAGCGGCCCGCGUCUGAUUCGCUAGUUGGGUGAGGUAAUGGCCCAGCAAGGCGUGGCUCAGUGGCUGGGCUGAGCGCAGGAUAAGCCACAUUGGGGCUGAGACACGGACCAAUCUCCGAGGGAGGGGAGCAGUGGAGAGUCUUGCGCAAUGAGGGAAAGCCUGACGAAGCCAUGCCGCGGGAAAGAUGAAUGUGGUAGGAUUGUAAAUUUCUUUCUCCGGAGACGAGAAUGACGGUACUCGGUGAAGAAGCCCCGGCUAACUUCGUG